UCAAGAAACUUCCACAAUGGGCGAAAGCCUGAUGGAGCGACGUCGCGUGAUGGACGAAGUGCUUCGGCACGUAAACAUCUUUUAUGUGGGAUGAAAUUAUUGACAGUACCACAUGAAUAAGGGGCUCCUAACUCUGUGCCAGCAGGAGCGGUAAUACAGAGGCCCCAAGCGUUAUCCGGAAUCACUGGGCGUAAAGGGUGUCGAGGCGGUUGUAUUAGUCGUUCGUAAAAUCUACGAGCUUAACUUGUAGGCGGCGAACGAAACGGUACGACUUGAGGUUUGGAGAGGUGCGUGGAACUCACGGUGUAGGGGUGAAAUCCGUUGAUAUCGUGGGGAACACCAAAGGCGAAGGCAGUGCACUGGUACAUUCCUGACUCUGAGAUGCGAAAGCGUGGGGAGCAAAAAGGAUUAGAUACCCCUGUAGUCCCUGAGCGGGCUGGCAAGGCGCAU
rnacentral:rRNA from 1 species